UCUCAGUUUCGAUUGUUUCAUCUUAUUCACCGCAUGAGUUGAUGUUGAAUCUAAGAGGGGUUCAUGGUUCUUUGCUUGAAAGAAGUUGUAAUAACCAUCAAUACUAUUGGAGGAGCAGUUAUCGUGGCUUUCUUUUAUAACCCUUUCUUUCGCUAAUAUGAAAUCAAGUUGGAUUGCAUGAAGCCAUCAAAUAUCUUGAUCUCUAAAUUACUUUGGUGAUAUAAUUUGAGAAAUUGGUAAUUGGAAUUCUGAAUUUUCUAGGUUAAAAUCCUCAAAUUGAAAAGUUUGUGUGCUUGUUGUUUGCUUGAGAUUCAGGAGCAAGGUUUAAUCAAAAAUAAGGUGCAUAGAAAAGGAAUUAGAAGGAAAUUUUUUAAUCAAAAAUACGGUGCAGAGGAAAGAAAUUAGAAGGAAAUUUAAGAGGGAAAGUUUAAUUUUUUUGAAGUACCUCUUUGUGUUGAGUUAAUGAUGCCCCGUAUUUAAUUUUGUCUCUUCAUAUUGAUUUCCAAUUGAUGUUAAAUAACUCAGCAGUGGUCGAUGUUUCCAGUAAAUUUAGGAGGGAAAGAUUCGUGAUGCAUAGGAAAGCAUGUGAACAUGUGGAAACCCUACAAGUUUUAAAUCUGUAAAAAAAAUUAUCCACUUUUUGUUUGGCGUAGGCAGAUUGACCCGACUUUUUAUUUUUAUCUUCUUCUUUUUAUCUUCGUUACUCCUUGGUGCUUACUUAUCAGACAUUGCUAGCAAGGUACACCAAUCCUCAUUCUUAUUCUUAAGAAUUUCAAUUGACUGGUAAUAGAAAUUUUUUAUAAUGGUCAUCGUUUGGUUAUGAAUUUUUUUUCGCUUACGUGAAAUCCAUACGAAACAGGAAAAUACCUUUUAUUUACUAAGAUUUAACUGUUUUGUUAGCAUGUGGAUAUAGGUAUGAAUGAAUGAUAUACUGUUUAAUAUCUUUAAUGUCUUGGAGCCACUGCGAUUUUUGGUUCACAUAUAUUGUUGUAUGUAUUUGGAAAUAGGAAUGCCAUAGUAGGAGAUCACUAAUUAUGUGAUGUGUAUUCCCUUGAGCUUUAUUACAAAUAUAAAUUCACCGAAGAUGGAAACAUAUCUAAGAGAAAUAGAACAAUCAGAGAAGGAGAAAUUGGGAAUGCCAUGUGGUAUAUGAAUGAUGAUUUACUUCUCUUGUUGUGGCAGCUUAUAAGAAUUCAUCAAUUGUACUCUGUAUUUUUGAUUGGUUUUUCCUCCAUCGCUUCAUUUAACUAUUUUGUAUACACAAAGCGUUUUGUGGUGAAGGUGAUCUUAGUGACAAUAUAUGUCUUAGGAUUAAAGCUGUCCAUAUGUGUACAGUGCGGCAAGUCAGCGGAAAUAGUGCAGAGUUAGGCUAUGAUUACAGGCAGAUACAUGUAAAUCCAUAUAUCUCCAAGUUCAUUGCCAGCUGAUUAAUACAGUGCCGAAUCAGACUAUAAUUAUAGGCAAGUAGGGCGGGUGAUGUUUUAAGAAGACCAGGGCCGCACAGAUAUUUUCAUAUGUUUUUGGUUGUUGGAUGCAGAUCUGUGUCAGAUAAAAUUUGUUUUCUCUUUCCACCUCUAUUUUUUUUUUCUUUU